AACGCGAAGAACCUUACCUGGUCUUGACAUCCACGGAAGUUUUCAGAGAUGAGAAUGUGCCUUCGGGAACCGUGAGACAGGUGCUGCAUGGCUGUCGUCAGCUCGUGUUGUGAAAUGUUGGGUUAAGUCCCGCAACGAGCGCAACCCUUAUUGUUAGUUGCCAUCAUUUAGUUGGGCACUCUAGCGAGACUGCCGGUGACAAACCGGAGGAAGGUGGGGAUGACGUCAAAUCAUCAUGCCCCUUAUGACCUGGGCUACACACGUGCUACAAUGGGAAGUACAACGAGUUGCGAAGUCGCGAGGCUAAGCUAAUCUCUUAAAGCUUCUCUCAGUUCGGAUUGUAGGCUGCAACUCGCCUACAUGAAGCCGGAAUCGCUAGUAAUCGCGGAUCAGCACGCCGCGGUGAAUACGUUCCCGGGUCUUGUACACACCG
rnacentral:rRNA from 1 species